rnacentral:rRNA from 1 species
UGAGUUUGAUCCUGGCUCAGAAUGAACGCUAGGGGGGUGCUUAAUACAUGCGAGUCGAACGACAAAUCUAUUUUGGAGUGGCGUACGGGUGAGUAAUACACAAGAAUCUACCUUUAAGAAGCUUUAAAUGGGUUAUAAUUAAAAAGAUGGUUUUCGCUUAAAGAUGAGCUUGUGCAGGAUUAUGGUAGUUGGUAUGGUAAUAGCUUACCAAGCCUUGGAUCCUUAGUUGUUUUGAGAGGUUGAUCAGCCACACUGGGACUGAGACAAGGCCCAGGCUUUUAUAGAAGCCAGCAGUAGGGAAUUUUGGGCAAUGAGCGCAAGCUUGACCCAGCAACCCCCCAUGAAUGAGGACGGCACUUUUGUUGUAAAAUUCUAUGCUUAGCAAUGAUAAUGACAGUAGCUAAGAAAAUAAGCUCCGGCUAACUUCGUGCCAGCAGCCGCGGUAAUACGAAGGGAGCAAGCGUUAUUCGGAAUAACUGGGCGUAAAGGGUUUGUAGACGGUAAAUUUCUAUUAAAGGUGAAAUAUGUAAGCUUAACUUUCAUAAGCCUUUAUAUUUGAUUUACUUGAGUUAGAGAGAGGGUAGCAGAAUUUUUCAAGUAGGGGUUAAAUCCAAAAAGAUGAAAAAGAAUACCAGAAGCGAAGGCGGUUAUCUGGCUCUAUACUGACGUUGAGGAACUAAAGCGUGGGGAGCAAACAGGAUUAGAUACCCUGGUAGUCCACGCCCUAAAAGAUGAGUGCUAUUGUUUAGAAAUUUAUUUUAGGCAAACAGCAAACGCUUUAAGCACUCCGCCUGGGGAGUACGGCCGCAAGGUUGGAACUCAAAGGAAUUGGCGGGGGCCUAUACAAGUGGUGGAGCAUGUUGUUUAAUGCGAAAAUACGCGCGAAACCUUACCAGUUCUUGACAUAGUUCUUUUUGUGGGUACAUAUCCGCAAGGUAGGUCUUACAGGUGCUGCAUGGUUGUCGUCAGCUCGUGUCGUGAGAUGUUCGGUUCACUCCGUUUAACGGGCGAAACCCCUUUUUUUAGUUGCUAAUUGCUUAGGCAAAGAACUCUAAAAAAACUGCUUUUAACAAGAGGAAGGCGGGGAUGACGUCAAAUCAUUAUGGCCCUUAUGAACUGGGCUACAAACGUGCUACAAUGAUAAAAACAAUAUGUAGCAAUAGGGUAACCUGGAGCAAAUCAUUAAAUUUUAUCUUAGUUCGGAUCGUGGGCUGCAACUCGCCCACGUAAAGAUGGAAUCACUAGUAAUCGCAAAUCAGAAUGUUGCGGUGAAUUUGUACCUAGGCCU